rnacentral:lncRNA from 1 species
CAGGGCUGCUGUACAUGUCCAUCCACAGUUUUAACUAGAAAAGAUGGUACCUCAAGGUACCAAAGUAGAGGAUUUGAGUUCCACACAUGUUCCAUCAUAUCAAGAUCAUCAGAAAUAGUAAUCAUAUUGGCUACAUGAUAUUAAAUUUAUUUAUUUUAAAAAUCUGGUGUCAAUAAGUGUGGGUAUUUUUUUUCUAUUAUUGAGCAUCAGUUAAAUAUCCUUGAUGAUAAGUUCUUUGCUAUUUGAAGCUAACAGUUCUUCACUAUUUUCAUUAUUUACUUCAAUAACUCAUCAAUCAUUUCCUUAAACUUUGGGAAAAAAGCAGCAAACUGUGAGACAAGUGUCUUCCAUACUUUUUCCUUGUAUGUUGUGAUAUAGUCUGUCAAAGCCUGACUGAUAAGUUUUAAGGACCUUCUUGAUGUCAAGACUACUUCAGAAAUCCUUGAAUGGAGGACUAACACACCAGAUACUACACAUAGUAUGUGAGAGGCAAAAAAGACCACUUAAAUAGGAUCUUCCUAAUCAAUAACACUACAAACAAAAAAACAAAAAACAAAAAAACAAAAAAAAUACUCAGGAUGUUCCUAAUCAAUAAUAAUAAAGGAAUAUCUGUGAACAUUAUCUGCUAUCAAAAGUCCUGUUUGCAAAUUUCCCUUCUUCAUGUAUCCCAUUUUGAAUAAUCAUGAGGAUACAUUUCCUAUAAUCAUUAAACAUGUGCUUUGCAAGGCACGCUUCGACAGUCUUUUAAGGGCCAUGCAGUUUGGAGAAUGAUAAGCUAACAACUGUACCUUAACAAUUUCCACCUAAAAAUGACAUUAGCCUAUCUGUGGAGGCUUCAAGUGUUAGGCACUGUUUUCUCCUAGUAAAUUGAAAUAAACCUACAGGAUGACAUUCAUCUCCAGUGAUAUCCAGUUUCAUUGACAUUGAAAACAUGGUUUGUUUAUCAAUAGUUUUCUGCCAUGUACUGGAGAGAACCAUUACAGUCUCAGGAUAAGCAGCAGCUGCUUCACCUAAUUUUUAAAUAAUUUUUAAAUCUUCUUAAAUAUCUUGGACCUACUCAAACUAAGUAUUGUGGUGAAUAUCUCUCUCCUCCACCUUUUUUUCUUCAGGUCUUUGAAGAUGUUCAGUGCUUUCUGCUGUAUCAAUGUGGGUCUUGACGACAUUCCACAAUGACUGAGGCUAUCAGUACACAGCAUUUAGCUAUUUCUCCAGUUUUUUAGUACCAACCACACUGUUCAUAAUUCAUCGUUUUUCUUAUUUUACCUUCUCACAUGUAGAAAAUCAUUGUAUGCUCAGUAAGUGCAGACAAGUACAUUACCAGGCUAUGUCUUUUAUGAGUUUCCUCUCUCAAUUCACUUUAGUUCUUACAAUCUUUCUUCCAAUAGAUGGGUUGUUCUGGACUUGAGGCUCAGCUAAUUUCUUAAAAAAAUAUAUAAUGCAUAAUAUUUUAGACAAAGAUCCUACCAGGAGAAGGGCUAAGACAGAAACACAAUCUACAUACAUCCUCUCAUUCAAAUUCUUAAAGCAAUUUAAAUGUUUUUACUGAUGCAUUAGACUAUGUUUUCAAUAAUGAAUGUGAGGAAAUUUUUGCAAGUAUAUAUAGUGAAUAUGUGGUUAAGAGUUCAGGUAACUAGAGAUUCAGAAUAUUUGCAAUAUUUUAUGAUUCACUGAUGACUCAUCUACAAGAGAAGAGAACAUGUUUUUAUUUGGACCUAUAAGCAAAUGUGAGUGGGAUACGGCUGUCAAGAGGAUUUGAAUUUCUUGAGGGUGUGGGUAGAGCAAUGCUUUCAAAUCCAGAAAGAAAAUACAACUUACAUUUAAAAAUACGAGACCACUGGGGAAAAGAAAGAUUGAUCUGAAAAAUAAGGAGACAAUAUGAGUGUUUUGUCAUAAAAGCAAAUACAAGAGAGAUUAUAUAAUGAAUUAUGCCAAAAGUUUGAGAAAAUACCAAGUUCUACUUUCACACGGAAAGUUGGGAUGGCACUAAAUCAUCCUAGAUUUUUAUGAUUAAUUUAAUUACCACUCCAAGUAACCUUUACACUUUUGAUGUACCCUAGAAAAUAAGAGGAUAAAUUAUAUAGUUACAUGGUUUUAACUUAAAGAACAUUUUCAUAUACCACAUCAAAUAGUAACUCUAGAAAAAUGCCGAAGAGGGGCCAAAUAUGGUUGUCUUUGGAUUCCUAUCAAUAUUUAGUUUGGUCUCAAGUCUAUGCUACCUAAUAAGAAUGUACCACCACCUUGUGGAAAUUCCUUCAAACUACAGACACAUGAUCCUAAGACCCAGAUGGAUUCAAGGAACAGAUUAGCAGAGCAAACUAUUUUACUUUCAUUUAAUUUAGUUUGACUGUUGUUUCUGCUUAGUUCACAACAAAAUCAUAGUCUCAACCCAGCCUUUCUCUUCAAUUUGAGUCCUUUCUUUCCAACUGUUUGGUUCACUUUCCCACCUGAUGCUUUGCUGCCAUUUAAAAUACCAUAACUUCCAAACCAAAUUCUUCAUACUAGUUCUAUUUAAAUGAAUGGACACUCAUACAGUAGGCUCCGCUAGUCAGGUUAAAGAUGCUGGCUUCCUUGACUUAUUCUCCUGUGAAAAUCCACUCCACCUCAAAAUUAAUCACUAAGUUCUGCUAGUCCUAACUCCUAAAGAUCUUUCCCAUCUAUUCUCUUCUUUUUAUCUCGACUGGCAAAAUCCUUGAUUAAGCCUUCAAAUUUGCUUACCUAAGCCAUUAUCACAGUCUUACAAUCAAUAUCCAUGGUUCUAGUGUCUCCUUGUCCCCCAUUACCGCUACUGUCUUGCUCUCCUGUGUUAAUCGGUUGACUUGGUUAACUUAGGCAUUAUGAUCUCCAACACCCUUUUCAGUGUCUAAAUGUUCACUGACUUCUCUCCUGCCAGAGUGUUAAAUAUGUGCUGUUCCAACCACAAUCUCUACUCACUCUGUCCCAAAUAUGCUCUAGUUCUCUCCCAUCUCUGCUGCUAUGCUCUAGUCUCUCUGGUAUGCCUUCUACCUCAUCUGGAAGUCAGAAUUCUUGUGAGUGAACAUUUCCACAGUGAUAUAUAGAAAACUUAAAAUAUUUUUGACAGGAAAAAAAUUGAAGAUUUGUACAUGAGACAAGGUCAGAAGCCUCAAAAGAUUUUCCCCACUCUGAAAAGAUAUUCUUAUCUGAAGUUAAAGGGAUUCACAUGGAGUAAUGGCUAUUCACUUGACAAGUGAGAUAACUAAAUCUACAUUGGUAAUGAGUGUCAUUAAAAAAGGUGACAUAUGAAGACAGUGUCUCCUAUCAUAUCUUAAUUUUGAUCCUCGUAAUUUGCUAUAUGGCUUUUGUCCCUUUGGCAUAAAAUUCUGAACAAUUAUUUGACUUAGAGUUUAGCAGGCAUUUUGAUCUUCCAGUUUUAUUUGCUAGCCCAAAUCUCCUUACUGAAAAAACCUUGCAUCUUAAUCAAAAGAACUUUAUGUUUUUCCAAAGAACAAUGCACAUAAUGCAUAUAACUUUAGUUUUUUAAAAAAUGAUUUAUUUGUACUGGGCAAUAUAGAUUAGGGUGAGCUGAUGGUAGAGGAACUGGCCAUAGCGUAUAGCUCUGCAUAGAACUGGGGAUAUGUUUAAAAUCAGAUUAGAUCAGAAUUUCAGCAGUGGUUUUUCCAAGAGAUUUGACAGAUUGGAAGGAGGAAAGAUAGACCACAUUUUAAGUAUAUAUACCAGAAACAGAUCAGAUGAGCAGAACUCAAAAGAUUAUUAAACAGAGGAGAAACUCUGGGUAGAGCUUUUAAGCUUUUAAGCAGCACCAGGGAGAGCUCCCUGCAUGUGUUAGUCUCCACUUGGAGGAAACUAAUGGUCUGUUCUUUUCCUGCUGGCAUAUGCAUGAGAUAAGGGUAGCAGCCUCAAAAAGCGUGGUAGCAGGACCUUGGACCCUUCAGGUCAGGGUCUUGCCACCACACCAGACAAGCCAUCUAGACAGCUGAGUCGCCAAGGAUGAGACAAAUCUAGAAUAAAUAGUAGAGGAAGGAGAUGCUGGAUGUCAGCUGCAGCCUUUAGACAAGCUGCAGCCGAAGAGGCUGGAUAUCAACGAUAAAUUUUCUUUAUUUGUCUUGCUGAGGAAGAGUCCCACUGAACCUCUUCUCCGACUGCUGCAAAGUUUGCUGAAAGCUUUCAGAUCUGUUCUUAGCCCCUGGCAGAAUUACCACAAGCUUGAGAGCAAGACAGCCAUCUUGCCACCACAUCAAAUGACUAGUAAAUACGGGGUUAUAAAGGCUAGGCCCUCUCACUUCAUGGGACAACCUUGAAGGACCAUGCCAUCUUCAACCAUGAGGAUAGCUAAGGUCUUUGUUGCAUUUGUGUCACAGCCCAAAUUCUCCUUUGACUCAGUUCUAUUUCCUUCUUUUUCCAAAGAUCCCCCUAAUCAACUUCCUGCAUAUUAAUCUUCCAUUUCAAAGUUUGCAUCCCAGGGGACUCAAUAUGAUAUCUACAAAUAGUAAGCAAACUAGGUACUUCUGUAAAUGAUCAAAGCUUUGGUUAACAGCUAAAACAGAUAUAACCUUCAUGGUCUAUGAAAGAAAUAACCAUUAUAUUACAUAUAUUUUGUUAUAUCAUCAAUGUGUUCAACUGAUAGAAAAGUGUAAGUUCUCUGAGUUAUUCUUAUUUUUACCCAACAGGAAUGUAGAUGUGUGCAUUUCAAAACACCCUUAAAUGUUGGGAAGUUAUCUUAAGACUGAAGGAUCUAAAGUUAUAAAUCCUCAAUGUCUAUAUCCUAUAAUCAUAGCCAAAGAUUAAAUCAUGUAUAUAAAUUAAUUUUCAAUCAAAGUAUCCUAGGCUUUAGUUUCAGGAGGAUAAUUAUUCAAGUAGAGUAAACUCUGUUUUAUCCACCAUUAUCAAGAAAAGGAAUGCAUUGUUUAAUUAUGUUCUCUUUAAUAGAGAUUCCAUAUGUACUAUGUUUAAAUUACCAAUUUUCAAAUAAUUAAACCCAUCAAAUACAUUUAAGAUACAGGUGACUAAAAAUAGUCUAAAGGGUAUUUUUUUUAACAAUUCAAAGUCAUUUUAGGAUCUUGCUACAUCACACAUUUAUCAGUGUAGCCAUUGUUAUUUAGGCUUGCAGGACCAACUACUAACAGAGACUUUGUACUUUUGGAUCCCAUAAUAAUUAUUAUACUGUUAUAACACCAUUAGAACUACAUGUUCUAGAUGCAAAGCCACCAGAGACUGUCAUGCUCUCCCUUAGGUAUAUCCCAGAAUUGAAAAAGAAUAGAUGAAGUAUUUGCUUAGCUUUCAAGUUAUAAACUAGUCAGUAUGUGUGACUUAAGAAUAACUGGGGAAAAAAAGUGAACAGUAGUGGUAAGCAUAUACAAAAAUAUGAUAGGUCAGUGCUGAGUAACAUGUGUACCUAUCCCCUUGGCUCCAAGGAAAUCAUUGGCAACAAGAAGCUCCUUCAUUAGCAUCUUUGCUCACAAAAGAAGAAAAGGUUGCUCUGAUAUAUUUCCUCUGAACAACUACACCUCACUUUAUGAAUACAUCUACAUGCACUCAGUAUCAUUUCAGCACUUACACUACCUUGUUGUCAAGGAAACAGACAUCAGCAUCACUUGGGAAGUAGUGAAAAGAAACCUGUAAAAAAGAAGUACAUUAUAUGUUGCAGGGGUAAGAGUUGCCUUCUCUGAGAGAGAACUUGAUAGGUUUCCAAUGUUAAUGAAUAGAACUCUAACUCACUGAAAAACAUGAAAAGCAUGACAGAAAAGAUGUUAUGAACAAUGCUUGCUGAUGACAGAAAAAUAAGCAGGCCUUGUAUUUACAGAGAGAUUUAUUACAUAGCACAUUCAUUUUACCCAACCUAAAGUAUGCUAUGUCCACAUUUGAAAAUUAAUAAAUUGGCUUAAUUUAGUAAGUUAGUCAUUUUUAAAUUAGUUACUAUAAAGAAGUAUAUAAUCAGUUGGACAAACGCAACUAAUUUAUUUCAAGCUAUAAAUUCACUUGUUUGAGGGAUGUGUUUUUUCUUUUUUUUUUUUUUGUUUUGUUUUGUUUUGUUUUUUUGUCUUUUGAGGGCUGCACUCGCAGCAUAUGGAAUUUCCCAGGCUAGAGGUCUAAUCGGAGCUGUAGCCACCAGCCUACGCCAGAGCCACAGUAAUGCAAGAUCCGAGCCAUAUCUGCGACCUACACCACAGUUCACAGCAACACCAGAUCCUUAACCCACUGAGCGAGGCCAGGGAUCAAACCCACAACCUUAUGGUUCCUAGUUGGAUUCAUUUCUGCUGCGCCAUGACAGGAACUCCAAGGGAUGUGUUUUUGUUAACAUCAACAUAUUGAAAUGACUAAGAGCUCAACUUCCAAGUAUAAUUUCCAAAGGGAGAAAAAAGAUGGCACACUCAGAGGGGUUUAAAUAAAAAUCAGUGAAUGAAGGGAUUAUUUGCAGAGUUGUGGGAAAGUUGAGAGGGACAACAAAGAAUGCCAGGGGUCAAGCAAAAAACGAAAGCCAUUGCCACCCCC